rnacentral:rRNA from 1 species
GUCUGAAAAACUUUAAUAGUUACAACUUUCAACAACGGAUCUCUUGGUUCUGGCAUCGAUGAAGAACGCAGCGAAAUGCGAUAAGUAGUGUGAAUUGCAGAAUUCAGUGAAUCAUCGAAUCUUUGAACGCACAUUGCGCCCCUUGGUAUUCCAUGGGGCAUGCCUGUUCGAGCGUCAUUUGUACCUUCAAGCUUUGCUUGGUGUUGGGUGUUUGUCUCGCCUCUGCGCGCAGACUCGCCUCAAAACAAUUGGCAGCCGGCGUAUUGAUUUCGGAGCGCAGUACAUCUCGCGCUUUGCACUCAUAACGACGACGUCCAAAAAGUACAUUUUUUACACUCUUGACCUCGGAUCAGGUAGGGAUACCCGCUGAACUUAAGCAUAUCAAUAGGCCGGAGGAA